UACGAAAAAACUCUACCUAAAACAAUCAAAACGAUAUUCGAACCUCUCCUGCAAGUGUGACUGUUUAUAUAAGCAUAGCUAUUGAGUAAAACUAUUUAAAACGAUUUAAUCAAUUUCAAAUAAAACGAUUCAAACCAAUCCCCCACGUUUAUGUGAAAAGUCACGAUAUAGAUUAGUUCAGCCUAACGGUUUGAACUAUUAACGAACAUUUUUUAUUAAUCGUUAAAAUCAUCUUGAACGAUUACUUCUAACGUCCAUGCACACAAUUUGACACUUCUUAAAUUUCUGAAUGAAAACCAGGGGUGCUAGGUGGUUUCGUCAAAAAUCAGGACAACGCAAAGCUAAAAAUGAUGAUUUUUCAGGACACCUUAUGAUUCAUAAAAAUAAUGCGCAGUUCUACUUAGAUUGCACAAAUAAAGGCGCAAUACAGGUGCUGUGAACGCCUUGGUUUAUGCAACAGCAGUACACAGUUUCUUCGCUGGCCUGCAGUUCAUAUCGAAAAACACCAUCAUCAUAUCAACUGAACAGAAAAUCAGGACAAAUCCUGAUAAAUCAGGUCACCUGGCACCUCUGGACAACUGUUAUGACUGGCUAGCAAAAGAAGAAAAAUAAGAAUAAUAAAUUUAUAAGUUGCUUCUGGUGGUGAAAUUGCUGUUUACAUCAAUUUCGCCAGAAAAUUUUCAUAGUUUAGACAUCUAGCUGCCGCAAUGAACUAGAUAGUCGGCGCACCGAGAGCUGGAGCCAGUUGAUCCCAAUGGCAGACCAAAAGAUUUAAGUAUUUCAGUGUCGGCGAAUGCUGCUUUUUUAUGCACCCGGGAGACUUCCCUGGCCCUGCAGUGAGAUUUCGGACCUCAUUUGGCAAUGUACAGCCCACUUCAUUUACCAUUGAUAAGUUUCGCAAGCUGGAUCAGGGAAGGAGUAAUUAAAAAAAAAUCCCGAAUGCACAAAAUGUAAGUUAAAAUAUAAAAAUGAAAUAUAUAGUGAAAUAUAAA